UAGGGAAUAUUGGUUAAUGUGCGAAAGCGCGAACCAGCAACGCCGCGUGUGCGAUGAAGGCCUUCGGGUCGUAAAGCACUUUUUGCAGGGAAGAGGAAGGACGGUACCUGCAGAAUAAGUCUCGGCUAACUACGUGCCAGCAGCCGCGGUAAAACGUAGGAGACGAGCGUUAUCCGGAUUUACUGGCCGUAAAGCGCGUGCAGGCGGCAUGGCAGGUUGGAUGUGAAAGCUCCCGGCUUAACUGGGAGAGGUCGUUCAAUACUGCCAGGCUCGAGAGUGGUAGAGGGAAGCGGAAUUCCGGGUGUAGUGGUGAAAUGCGUAGAUAUCCGGAGGAACACCAGAGGCGAAAGCGGCUUCCUGGCCCAUUUCUGACGCUCAGACGCGAAAGCUAGGGUAGCAAACGG
rnacentral:rRNA from 1 species